rnacentral:tRNA from 1 species
GGAGUUGUGGCUCAGGGGCAGAGCGCUUGCCUAGCAUGUGAGGCCCUGGGUUUGAGCCUCAGCAUCUCAU